AUUUAUUUGAGGUAGGUGAGAGCUAUGGAGUCUGGCUGGCUCUGGAAGUCCCUGCUCCUGACACAGGGAAUGUGUCUCCAAGAAUGGCAAGAGCCACGUGUGAUGCUGCAUGCCUGUAAUCUCAGCUCUCUGUGAGGCUGAGGCAGGAGCAUUACAAGUGUGAGCCCAGACUGGCCAAUUUAGUGACUUAGUGACCCUGACUCAAAAUAAAGAAUUAAAAAAGGGCUAGGGAUAUAGCUCAGUGCAAAGUCCAUGGAUGGCCAGGAGGUGGGGAGGGCAGUGCAUAGGAAGCCAAGGCAUCGAUACUCUGCUCUUUGGGUAGGGGGAGGCCUCAGCCAGCACAGAGGCUCCUCCAGGGUCAGUGAGCCUAACAGGAGAACUCCUGGGUGCGGAUUUCACAGGCCACACCCCUAACCCUAACACCGCUCCCAGGUCUGUUAAGGGCCACCGUGGGUCACAAGCCCUGGAAAGCCAGAACAGUUCUCAGCAUAGGACCUGCCCCCGGGCCUGCUUCACCAGGGGAACGCACACGCCAGUUACCCAGGAAUUGAACUCACGACCCCAUGCUUGCCAGGUGGGUACUGUACCACUGAGCUAUAUCCCCAGCUCCAGUUUUUUCCUUAAAAGUACAACUUUUAAAAAUCUUGAUUUCCUUGUCUCCUUUCUACUUAGCUUUAUUUCUUCUAUUCUACCUCAGACUGAUUAAAAAUGUUUCCCUUUCAUUUGACUUAGGAGAAGAAAGAGGCAGAAUUUGCAUGGCACUAGAUCCAGUGAAUAAGGUGAGCAAACAGUCAUACUGUUAGGAACCCGCCUGUCUGUUGUCGGACACCUGGGUAGCAGCAUACAGCAUCUUUUUGAUCACACUCCUAAAGACACUCACAGAAGAGGCCUUCUAGAGCUGCUUCAGAAAGUGGCAGUGUGAUAGGAGGUUAGGGUGUGGCUAAAACCGGCUGGGAAAAGAGAUGUGGCCAGAUCCUGGAACACGGGCACAAAACACUUCCCAGAGGCCUGCACCUGGACUUCUGAGAACUCAAGCAGCUUUUCCAUAGGAUGGCCUAGCCCUGGCGUCGGCCUCAGGCCCGGGCCAUAAAAGCACGGCCCACCUUGAAUUUUGGCCACUAUGUCUCCCUUGCAUGGUGGCUGCCCUCACAAUGUGCUUCUUUCCCUGCUUUGAGUUGGUCCAAACUCACUCUGCAGAGCCUGUUUCCUUUUCUACCCUUGGUAAAACCUUGCUACCAUUUUGUGUCUCUUGAGCCAUUCUUUGCUUAGGACAGAAGGAACCUAAAAACCACCUCCAGAAGGAGGCUCCAGCACCCCAAAAUCCAGGAACAGCAAGAAUGAUGGAGUGAGUAUGUUCCAAGUGAGAGGGACUAUUUUGAGGGGGAUUUCUAGUAAUGUGUCUUUUACUGUAAUAAAUUUUUUGAAAAUUUAAACAGUCACCAUAUAUUUUGACCACAGAUCAAAUGCAUGACAUUCUUAGCCCCUGGCCUCUUCAAUGGGGCUCCCUCAGCUUGAUGAAGUUCAGAAACCAUUGUUCUGGGUGGCCCAGAAAGGGUGGGGAAAUCAAGUCUCCUUUGGAGCCAGCCUACACAGAGGGCUGAGGGACACUUGUCCAGCCUGGGUGUCCCAGUUGUAGGACUCUCCGAGCUGUAGACCUCAAGGCGCCCAGUUCAGGCUGGGAGGUGGCAUACUCUCCAACCUAAAAGGAGGAAGAAGGAAGACCUUGACAAAGAGACAGACUCUUUAAUUAAAUGAGGGUGUGAUGGCCAGUGGCAGCGGCCCAGGAUUGAGAUUAUAGUGCUCUUCCUCCUAAGUAGUACGCUAGUGCUAAUCCCUCUUGAAAAACCUCUUGGCAAAUGUUCUGGGCAAUGGGACCAGGGUUGGGUUUUUUGUUUUCUUUCCUGAACUACAGAGUUAGUGUUUACUCUUGGCAAACUUGAGAGAACCAAACAAUGAAAAUAAUCCUGUAAUUGUCCCUGCAGAUCCACAGGAAGGGCUGGAUCAGGUUCCUUUCCUGUGGAUCACUCAUCCCCUCACCCCAGAAGUGUAGAGCUUCUGUUAGGGAAAAAGGAGGGGAAAAAAAACUGAGAUAGGAGCUCAACAGGACAGGUUUGUUCUGUAAUAACAGAACAAGGACCUCUGUGGCACUGUAGACCAGCCCAGCUGCUCUCCUAUGGGCUAUGUAGGGUCAUGGGGAGAGGGGAGUUCAGUGAGAAGGGGUGGUGACCCCCUGCCAAGAACAAGGUUGAGAGAGCACAAGUGGUCAGCACUGCCCAAGGAUGGGGCUUGGGAAAGCGCAGGGAGUAGAGGCUGUACUAUCAGAGGCAGGGCUGAUAGUGCGCUGAGUCCCCAGGUGCAGCUGUGGGGGAGGGCGAGGUUUAGAGGGGUCUGAUCAGGAUGGGGGUGGUUGGAUUCAUUCAGUUUCUUGUAGGCCUUGAGAGCUGUCUCUGCAGAUGAAAAGUCUCACUGAGCCCAGAUGUCAGCAAAGUCCUUCCCCCAGCAAGGCACCCACCCGAAGGCCGCUCGGGAAGUCUCCUGAAAAAUACUUGUGUAAACCAAAACUAGAUAGCUGGCCAGGUCCUUUUGUUGCCUUUUGAUAGCAAACCAGCCCUCAGCCUAGCUAGGUUCCCUGUCUCCCACUCAGCUUUUGUGUCCUUAUCUCUCUCUCUUGCUUUAGUCAGUGUGCUUUCCUGUCACUCACAGACUCCAAGAAUUCAUCUUUAGAAUCAGAGGAAAAAUCAAAGAGAAUCAGAGAAAAUAAAAAUAUCUUGAUAGA